UCCAGUGUUUGGCUCGGGACCAGCCAGGCUCAGAUUCUAUUUAUGACAAAUAACCAUUGUCUCAACAAUCCCAGAAGGAUUUCUUUUUUGUCUCCUCCUGGUGCCGUGGCCAUUGUGGCAUGAUAGGGGCAUUUCUAACAAAAAAAAGCACAUUCUCUGGAUUUUAUUCAGAGUGGGGUUAAAUGUUCUCCCAGCACUCAAGCCAGAAAACAAGACAGCCUUAGAAAGUCCUGGAACAGGAGAACUUGAUGCAACCAUGGGGAUGACCAAUAAAGCACAUUGUUUUUGGGGAUCCCAGUUAUAAAUAUAUAGAAGUUAAUAAAUAAAGGGA